rnacentral:rRNA from 1 species
AUUGAACGCUGGCGGAAUGCUUUACACAUGCAAGUCGAACGGCAGCACGGACUUCGGUCUGGUGGCGAGUGGCGAACGGGUGAGUAAUGUAUCGGAACGUGCCCAGUCGUGGGGGAUAACGUAGUGAAAAUUACGCUAAUACCGCAUAAGAUCUAUGGAUGAAAGCGGGGGAUCGCAAGACCUCGCGCGAUUGGAGCGGCCGAUAUCAGAUUAGGUAGUUGGUGGGGUAAAGGCCCACCAAGCCAACGAUCUGUAGCUGGUCUGAGAGGACGACCAGGCACACAGGAACUGAGACACGGGCCAGACGCCGACGGGAGGCAGCAGUGGGGAAUUUUGGACAAUGGGCGCAAGCCUGAUCCAGCCAUGCCGCGUGCAGGAUGAAGGCCCUCGGGUUGUAAACUGCUUUUGUACAGAACGAAAAGGUUUCUACUAAUACUAGGAGCUCAUGACGGUACUGUAAGAAUAAGCACCGGCUAACUACGUGCCAGCCGCCGCCGUAA